UGUUAUUAGAGUUUCUUAUCACUCGAACGAAUUAAUACAACGUGGAAUUAAUCUGUUGGCAUGUACGAAGAUCCGUCUCAAAACACAACAGGAAUUCCAAUGAGAUUACGUGUCGUACGUGAAACAUCGCGCCGAUUAAAUAAUCUCUAAACAAGGUUGUUACAAAAGAGAAUGUGAAAUAUUGAUCUCGUACUAUAAAUCGUAAAAUCUCUUCGACGCUGGCAAACGAUUUUAAAUGCUGAUUUCGUUUGAUCUUUCGUAUAUCCUACAUGCGAUCCCGGAAAAGCAGAUCCUUAUCGAUGAUUAAAGUAUCAAACAGUGGGAGGAUCUAUGCUGGACAACGGUGCCAAUUUUUGUUCUCUUUCUCUUUUUUUUUUUUUUUGUUUUUUUCCUUUUUUCUUUUUUAACGAACAUCUUUUCAAGGACAAACUCCGUAAGAUUCACCUCUAUAAAUACACGCAUCUUAACCACGUGAAGAAACAAAUCGCAUAUAAACAUUGAAGAAAUACUAAUUCCGCAGUACGCGUGACUCGAAGUUAAGGUAAAGGUCGCUUCGCCGAUGGAGGUUGUUGGAAUGAUCUUCCUGAAAAAACGUAAUAAAACAUAUUUGAAUCCGAGUUAUGUAUUAUUUUGUAAGAACUUAUUUGUCUCUUUUUUCGUGGAAAAAUACGUCGGCAAGUUUGGUGGAUAAACGAAGCGUUUUAUUCAAAAAUAAAUUCAUCAACGUCUUUCUUGGAUAUCUAUGUACGUCCAAGAGGGAAGACAUAUUACUUGAAUAAUAUGCAUAUGCGAGAGUUAUACAAACAACGAGUAACUUUACUUUAUCGAGUAUUUAUUAUACGACGUGUUAAAGAUAGUUAGCGAUAAAAAAAAAAAAGAAAAUAAAAAAAAAAGAAAAGAAAAGAAGAAAGAAAAAAAUAUAUAAAUAAAUAAAAAAUAAAAAAGAUUGCAAGCACUCUAGCGUUGUUCAUAAAAUAUAAAAAUAACUUGAAAGAAAAUAAUGAACACUCGAAUGGAGAACAGAUGAACGUACUUUUUAUUAGAGCUUCUAUUAACAAAGACUUUAUAAUUACGUGAAGAGGAAGAAAAAAAAUAAGGGGAGUAAAAAAGAAAAGAAAGAAAAAAAAAUAAACUGUAGAGAUCUCAGGAUUCAUCGAUUAAAGACUUAAAAAUGACGAUAAGUUUAAAAUAAAUACUCUAUCACAAGAGAAUUUGACACAUCUACCACAAGAUUGUCAUCGAUAAAGUGACCAUUCUGGUUUUUCUACGACGAAUUUAAUACGUAGAAACUAUCGUUCCUCUUUAACGAUCGAACAAAAGCAAAAUAAAAA